UACAGAGGGUGCAAGCGUUGCUCGGAAUCAUUGGGCGUAAAGGGCAGGUAGGUGGUCUGAUUUGUCUGGAGGUGAAAGCCUUGGGCUUAACCCAAGAAGUGCCCCGGAAACGGUCAGACUUUGAGUCUUGGAGAGGGUUGCGGAAUUCCCGGUGUAGCGGUGAAAUGCGUAGAGAUCGGGAGGAACACCGGUGGCGAAGGCGGCAUCCUGGACCAACACUGACGCUGAGUGAGCGAAAGCCAGGGGAGCAAACGGG
rnacentral:rRNA from 1 species